CAGCCGCCUGCCGCCGCCCGCCCUGAGCGGGGCCGGGGCCCGGCUGCCCGCCUCGCCAGGGGGCGCCGCUCCCACCGGGCGCCAUUUUGUGGCGGCUUGAGUGCUGGUUUGAACAUGUUUAACCAAUGGAAACACAGUACCUGUAUCUAUUUGUACAAGCUGACAGUCAAACCUCCACAAAGGAGCAGCUCCGAGAGGUGCCAGGGUUCCUCAAAUACACCAUUUAAGGGAGCAAAUUACUGUAAACUGUGGUCUUUUGCAAUUGCAGAAUAUCCUGCCUACCAGGAUAGAGCACGUUGCUGGAGCAGUAUGGUCCCUUUACACAGGAGAAAAAAUAACAGAAAAAAUAACACCAAGGACCAUCUUCUCCGUGGAUUAGACUGUUCUGUGAGAAGCUGAGGACAUCUGCUGAUUCAUUUUACCAGCCAGAACAAGAAACACAACACCCUAAAUAGUCGGGUUCCUGACAACUAGAGAGAUGUAUUUUAGCUCUUGUAUUGAUUUGGGGAUAGUCUCUUGGACGAGCAGCAGAGCAUUUUUGCCAAAGGGGCACGUCCUUACACUGGCUGGAUGCACAGUACGGGGUACCAAACGCAGGCUCAUGAAGGUUUCAUUUUGUUUCACGACAAAAAGCAGAGCAGAGGCGCUGCACAAAUCACUGCUCUUGCCUCCUCGCUCCAUAAAUCCCGCUGGCUGCCUGGAUCUCUUUUCCACUCCCUUCUCCCUGCUCCCCAAGCCUUUUUCCUCCUUUUUUCCCCUUUUCCCUAGCAGCACAUCCCCAAAACCCGCCCUCGCUGACCUGGGAACCCCAACUAACUCACGUACACCGCCGGCCGAGGGAGGCGCGGG